rnacentral:lncRNA from 1 species
UUUAUAUUAUUUUUCAUAUCACGUUAUCAGCACGAGGCUCUAACAAACUGAGAUUUAUCGGAAAUCUGAGAUCAAUCACAAGAAUUUGUAGCCGUUUUCCCGUCGCCGGCCAACAACACAUAUUCAUCACUCUGUUUCUGUUUUGUGAUUCCGAACAUCUUCGGCUCAUACAUCCAGGGUUUUCUUUUAUUGCUCCUGUUUCCCUCUUUCUUUGUUGGAACAUGACAAAAUGUCGAACUUAUCAAAACUCGAAUUCGUCGCCCUUGACAUCUCGGGAAAUAACUACCUCCCAUGGACUCUUGAUGCGAAAAUUCAUCUGA